UUUCUCGUUGCCAAAGACAUCGCGAUGACAACGUCUGCUCUUGCGCGUUUUCGGAAAAAAAAAUAUUUUGUGUUUUGUUUUUUGAGCAGUUCGGAAGAGAAUGCUAAAGCGCACGGAAGGACCGCUGCUUAGGACCGGCUUGCUCAAAUGCAGCGUCUCAGUUGAAACAGACUUAAAACAAACACUGUCGAGGUUGGAGCGCGCGAGCGCCUAAUACGCGAUUUAAGAUUGAGCGCUACCUUUGACAGCGCUUUCUCUGCUGAGACGCUGGUUCGAGCGAGCCGCUUGACUUAGAUUAUGAAGCCUCCUAGAGAUUCACCAACGACGUAGGCGCACCGCGGAGAAGUGCUUUAGUUCUGAAAUUCCAGAGUUCAUGCUCCAUUAGGUGCGGUCGAGAAUUACAAGGCAAAAGAACAUCAACCAAGAUCGAAAGUUAGAGGUUCGAAGGCGAUCAGAUACCGCCCUAGUUCUAACCAUAAACGAUGCCAACCAGCGAUCCGCCUGAGUUACUCAAAUGACUCGGCGGGCAGCUUCCGGGAAACCAAAGUAUUUGGGUUCCGGGGGAAGUAUGGUUGCAAAGCUGAAACUUAAAGGAAUUGACGGAAGGGCACCACCAGGAGUGGAGCCUGCGGCUUAAUUUGACUCAACACGGGAAAACUUACCCGGCCCGGACACUGGGAGGAUUGACAGAUUGAGAGCUUUUUCUUGAUUCGGUGCAUGGUGGUGCAUGGCCGUUCUUAGUUGGUGGAGCGAUUUGUCUGGUUAAUUCCGAUAACGAACGAGACUCUGGCCUAUUAAAUAGGUGCGUGGUUCUCUGCACCUUGCACCCUUCUUAGAGGGACAAGAGGUCCUAGCCGCACGAAACAGAGCAAUAACAGGUCUGUGAUGCCCUUAGAUGUCCGGCGCCGCACGCGCGCUACACUGAAGGAAGCAGCGUGUUUUUAUCCCUGUCUGUAAAGACUGAAUAACCCGUGGAACCUCCUUCGUGAUUGGGAUAGGAGCUUGCAAUUGUUCCCCUUGAACGAGGAAUUCCCAGUAAGCGCGAGUCAUAAGCUCGCGUUGAUUACGUCCCUGCCCUUUGUACACACCGCCCGUCGCUACUACCGAUUGAAUGAUUUAGUGAGGUCUUCGGACCGAUACCCGGAGCGGCCUUUCGGUUGCCGGUUUGUUGGAAAGAUGACCAAACUUGAUCAUUUAGAGGAAGUAAAAGUCGUAACAAGGUUUCCGUAGGUGAACCUGCGGAAG
rnacentral:rRNA from 1 species